rnacentral:lncRNA from 1 species
AUCUUGGCUGCAGAAGAGCCUACAGAGGCAGCUGACAGCCUCCAUUUUCUUUUCCAGGCUCAUCUGGAUGCAACCAGAGAGAUGCUGGGAAAGGAAAAAAGAAGGGGUGUAAGGGAAGAUCAUUUCCCCCUUUGCAUACUAAAGAGAGGAUCAAGAAAGAAGCACUUUGCAUAUGAAAGAUGGGAAACACCUACCCAGUGAAUGGAGCUGUCUGAUGCCUGACUCAAACUACAACUUCUGUUGCCAAAGGAAUCUCAAGGGGGAAUAAAAACAAGGAGAAAAAUGGCAGAUGCUGCAGUGUUCAUUUCAAGACCUCUCUGAAUGGCCAAGGAGUACUCAGACAAGCAAAGAAAAUGGCUCCAGUGACAGCUUUGCCCCCACUGAAUGCGCGAGGUCUAAACCAGUGCUGGACUGUGUGAGUCUCACAGAAGACUGAGACCCCCAGGCACAGCAGCCUCUGGCCAGGG